rnacentral:misc_RNA from 1 species
AGCAGCCGCGGUAAUUCCAGCUCCAAUAGCGCAUAUUAAAGUUGUUGCAGUUAAAAAGCUCGUAGUUGAAUUUCGAGAUCAAAUUGUUGGUCGUGCCUUGGUACGCACUGGCAUUAUUGGUUUCUCCCUUCUGACGAACCAUGAUGUCAUUAAUUUGGUGUCUUGGGGAAUCAGGACUGUUACUUUGAAAAAAAUUAGAGUGUUUAAAGCAGGCUCACGCUUGAAUACAUUAGCAUGGAAUAAUGAAAUAGGACGUUUGAUUCUAUUUUGCUGGUUUCUAAGAUCGACGUAAUGAUUAAUAGGGAUAGUUGGGGGGCAUUAGUAUUCAAUUGUCAGAGGUGGAAUUCUUGGAUUUAUUGAAGACUAACUACUGCGAAAAGCAUUUGCCAAGGAUGCUUUCAUUAAUCAAGAACGAAAGUUAGGGGAUCGAAGACGAUCAGAUACCGUCGUAGUCUUAACCAUAAAACUAUGCCGACUAGGGAUCGGAUGAUGUUAAUUUUUUAAAUGACUCAUUCGGCGC